rnacentral:rRNA from 1 species
AGUGAACGCUGGCGGUAGGCCUAACACAUGCAAGUCGAACGGCAGCACAGUAAGCGCUUGCCCUUACGGGUAGCGAGUGACGGACGGGUGACGCAUACAUCGGAUUCUUCUUUUUCUUGGGUGAUAACGUAGGGACACUUAUGCUAAUACCUCAUACGAUCUACCGGUUAAAUCAAGAGUGCUUCAGACUUUGCCCGUCUCAAUUAGACGGCGCCGGAUUAGCUAGUUGGGUGGGUAACGGCACACCAAGGCGACGAUCCGUAGCUGGUCUGAGAGGAUGAUCAGCCACACUGGAACUGAGACACGGUCCAGACUCCUACGGGAGGCAGCAGUGGGGAAUCUUGGACAAAGGGCGAAAGCCUGACGCAGCAACACCGCGUGGGUGAUGAAGGCCUUCGGGUCGUAAAGCCCUUUUGUUGGGAAAGAACAGCUGCAGAUUAAUCCGCCGCUGUUCUGACGGUACCUAAAGAAUAAGCACCGGCUAACUUCGUG